UCCUCUCCUCUCCUCUCCUCUCCUCUCCUCUCCUCUCCUCUCCUCUCCUCUCCUCUCCUCUCCUCUCCUCUCCUCUCCUCUCCUCUUUUUUUUUCCUGUUCAUUUUAAGUUCUGUCUGACUAAGUGAUCUCAUUUUUGUUUCACACAAAGCCUUCUUGGUGCAACAAGAGAGUAGGGAUGGUGUUGCAGCCCCUUCUGCCUGUCUUCUCGCUCUUCAUAGCAGAUGUGAUGUUCUGGGAGAGAGGACUAACUGACAUCAGUUAGUCCUUGCUGAGUCCAGUAAGCAAGGUUGUCAUACCCCUUCAUUAGCCUCAGGAGGUCAGCCUGGUGUCUAUGCAGGUGCAGAACUAUGCAAAUGAAGUGCUGGUGAAAUUAUGUUUGGGGUGCCAUGUCCAAAGUUGAGUCUUUUUACUUUGAAGCAAGUAAAUACAGAAGUGUUUCCCACAGCUUUGAAGAUAUCUAAAAAUGAUUUCUUCAGCAAUGCAAGGUUAUAUCACCAUGAACACUGUGCACCUUGUAACCUGUAGAUGAAGAAUUAAAUUCUCCCUCUCUAGUAGUCACUAAAAAUACCUUGCACCAAGGAAAUAUCCAUACCAUACUAUCCUUCCUGUCCUAGUGACUGCUGCAGACAGUGAGAAACUUCUGUGCUCCUUCAACAUGAUGGGUGGAUUCAGGCAGCCCCAAGGACAGGUGCAGGAGCUGCUGGAUUCUUGGAUCCCAGGGCGGUCAUCUGAGCUACAGAAAUAUUCUUGUGAGAGAGAAAUAGUGGAGCUUUCCAUGGGCUGUUGGGAAACAUCUGUGAGUGUUGUAAACUCUGCUCAUGGUGCUGGAGCAAGUCAUGAGAUGCGGUUGAGG
rnacentral:lncRNA from 1 species